rnacentral:rRNA from 1 species
GACGAACGCUGGCGGCGUGCCUAAUACAUGCCAGUAGAACGCAGUUGCGAACGGGUGAGUAACGCGUAGGUAACUGCCUGGUAGCGGGGGAUCACUAUUGGCAACGAUAGCUAAUACCGCAUCCUACCAUAUGGACCUGCGUUGGAUUAGGUAGUUGGUGGGGUACCGGCGCACCAAGGCAACGAUACAUAGCCGACCUGAGAGGGGGAGCGGCAACACUGGCACAGAGACACGGCCCAGACUCCGACGGGAGGCAGCAGUAGGGAAUCUUCGGCAUGGGAGGGAAGGCUGAGCGAGCAAGGCCGCGGGAGUGAAGAAGGUUUUCGGAUCGUAAAGCGCUGUUGUAAGAGAAGCGGUAUCUUACCAGAAAGGGACGGCUAACUACGUGCCAGCAGCCGCGGUAAUUC